rnacentral:rRNA from 1 species
UACGUAGGGUGCAAGCGUUAAUCGGAAUUACUGGGCGUAAAGCGUGCGCAGGCGGUUGUGCAAGACCGAUGUGAAAUCCCCCGGGCUCAACCUGGGGAAUGGCAUUGGUGACUGCACGGCUAGAGUGUGUCAGAGGGGGGUAGAAUUCCACGUGUAGCAGUGAAAUGCGUAGAGAUGUGGAGGAAUACCGAUGGCGAAGGCAGCCCCCUGGGAUAACACUGACGCUCAUGCACGAAAGCGUGGGGAGCAAACAGG